AGUCUCCCAAUCGUUUUCGCCGCAUGUCCUCUUGCGUCCCAUGUUUAAGGGAUUGACGCGCGUCGCUGAAGCAGGGGAGCUCAGCUCAUGCUACUGCUGCUGUCUCACACUCAUGGAUCAUCACAUCCAGACAGGUACCGUGGAAUGCUGUACCCAUCUGAAACCGUGUCAGCAUCGCGCUUGUGUUUGUCGGGAAAAAAAGCCUAAGAUGAAUAGUGGCGACAGCAUUCAAGACCUCAUCCAAAAGAAAGCCACCCUGCUGUCCAUUUCCAUCUACCUCUGAGAAACGACAUUGAGCCAACGAAAGAAGAAUAAGUCCACCAGUGAACGACAGCAAUGUUGUACAGUCGUUUAAAGUAAGAGCUCUUAAAAAUCCUCAGGCUUUUUGCUCUUGAUCCAUCAUCAGACCAGUUUCAAAGUCUUCCUCCAACACCAGAACACAGUGUGUCCUUGAUCUGUGAACAUAAGAGAUGUGAAAAGUAGGACGCACUUGUUCACACUGGAUCAGACGAUCAGGAGGACCCCUGGGUGACAAAUGAUGAAAGCAGAGUGAUGGUGACUUCAACAAGCAGGGCUUUGAAGCGCUGAGCUUCACAGGUCACAGAUCAGAGCGGUGUCUUCUGGGGCUGACAGCUGGUCUGAGGGAGGGAGGCUGUCUCUGUGUCAGCGAUGUAGCUAUGUGACCGUGAAGACUCCAUCUCCACUAUGGGACUGUCCACCGCUGCAGUGGUGGCCAUAGCAUGUAACAUCCUGGUAGCUCUGCUCAUACUGGUUCUGAUAUUGAUCCUCUGCAAAGCAUGCAAGGUUCCCUCCAGCCAGGAGAGCGUCCCGGUGCUGACUCUAGAGAACGCACGUCAGAGGAACGAGCAGAGGUACUUGCUGACGGCGUGAAGGAAAAGAUUGGCGACGGAAUGCUGUUUAUAUUUUGUAUUGCCUGCAGCGAUCAAUUGCAGAUUGGGCGACAUGGUUUGUCAUGAAUUAAAACAUGAUUUCAUAGAUGUUUUAUGCUAUUCAUAGAGGCCUGCGUAAGUGACACUCGAGGACGAGGAGUGAGUUGGCUGAGCGUGGGCUGCUGGACUGUACCUGAGCUCUCUUAUACUGUACCACUCUGCCUGAGUGUUUUAUGUAAAGGUAAAGAGACUCUCAGUCGCCUCUUUAGAGUCAUUCAGUAUUGCCUGACAAUGUCAGUGAAACCCCACACCUGCAGCUAACCAGCUAGCCAUCAGUGUUAUGCUAAUUAGCACACAAACAAAUAAAAGCUCAAGUGCAAGAAUUACAUUUUAAUAAGAGCUGAAUUAUACGGGUUUGUGUCUGAAAGAGAAAUUUUAAUAAGAAAUGCAUGUUUUAUUGUGGUUGUUUGCUUGUGCAAUGGGCCAGAGGGACCGGUACACUAAUAACAUGCUAGCAUCUUUUCUUCAGAAUAUCAGAGAAAAUUAAAUGGUAGAUAAAGAUUAUGAACGUUUAAUAAAUACGUUGAAAUAUCCAUAAAAUUCUUGGUCUUCUUUAACAUCUUGUAAAGUUA
rnacentral:lncRNA from 1 species